CCUACGGGAGGCAGCAGUGAGGAAUAUUGGUCAAUGGGCGAGAGCCUGAACCAGCCAAGUCGCGUGAGGGAUUAAGGCCCUGCGGGUGGUAAACCUCUUUUGCCGGGGAGCAGAGGUCCGGACGUGUCCGGGCCGGGAGAGUACCCGGCGAAAAAGCAGCGGCAAACUCCGUGCCGGCAGCCGCGGUAAUACGGAGGAUGCGAGCGUUAUCGGGAUUUAUUGGGUUAAAGGGGUGCGUAGGCGGGCAUUAAAGCCGGCGGUAAAAUGUCGGGGGUAAACCCCGGACUGCAGUCGAAACUGGGUGCCUUGAGUGGGCGAGAGGUAUGCGGAAUGCGUGGUGUAGCGGUGAAAUGCAUAGAUAUCAGGCAGAACCCCAGUGGCGAAGGCAGCAUACUGGCG
rnacentral:rRNA from 1 species